rnacentral:rRNA from 1 species
UACAGAGGGGGCAAGCGUUGUUCGGAAUUACUGGGCGUAAAGGGCGCGUAGGCGGCCUGCUAAGUCGAACGUGAAAUCCCCGAGCUCAACUCGGGAACUGCGUCCGAUACUGGCAGGCUUGAAUCCGGGAGAGGGAUGCGGAAUUCCAGGUGUAGCGGUGAAAUGCGUAGAUAUCUGGAGGAACACCAACGGCGAAGGCAGCUCGCUGGGACGGUACUGACGCUGAGGCGCGAAAGCGUGGGGAGCGAACAGG